rnacentral:lncRNA from 1 species
CUCGCCGGACUUCUUGAUGUCGGAGCUGGCGGUGGGGUCGAUCGCGAGCGCGGAGGCGGAUACGGUGGCCUUGAUGACGGUGAUGUUGCCGGCCUCGUGCGCGAACCCGGGCACGGAGGCCUCCCCGAGCGGGACGGCGUUGGCGGCGGUGGCGGCCGUGACGGUGAAGUCGUCGUAGAAGUAGACGAGCUUCUUGUUGGGGUUCUUGGCGGUGAGCGUGACGUCGAUGGCGUCGGUGAGCGCGGGCGCCGUGGCGGAGGAGGAGAGGCUCAGCUUGGUGACGUGCGCCACGGAGAGCGUGAAGGCCGGGCGGUGCGGGCGGUAGAGGAGGUAGAAGGCACCACCCACCACGGCGGCGAUGAAGGCGAGGAGGAGGAUGACGAGGACCGUCCAGAAGAAGCAGCAGCAGCAGCUGAACGGGCAGGAGCGGCCGCCGCGGCGGCGCUUGGCGCCCCCCUGCUGUGGGCGGUAGAUUGGCCGCUGGUACAUCUUGGGCGGCCCGCCGGUGCCGUUUCCGGCGG